UGGGGAAAAUUGGACAAUGGGCGAAAGCCUGAUCCAGCCAUGCCGCGUGUGUGAAGAAGGUCUUCGGAUUGUAAAGCACUUUAAGUUGGGAGGAAGGGCAUUAACCUAAUACGUUGGUGUCUUGACGUUACCGACAGAAUAAGCACCGGCUAACUCUGUGCCAGCAGCCGCGGUAAUACAGAGGGUGCAAGCGUUAAUCGGAAUUACUGGUCGUAAAGCGCGCGUAGGUGGUUAGUUAAGUUGGAUGUGAAAUCCCCGGGCUCAACCUGGGAACUGAACUCAAAACUGACUGACUAGAGUAAGGUAGAGGGUAGUGGAAUUUUCUGUGUAGCGGUGAAAUGCGUAGAUAUAGGAAGGAACACCAGUAGAGAAGGCGACCACCUGGACUGAUACUGACACUGAGGUGCGAAAGCGUGGGGAGCAAACA
rnacentral:rRNA from 1 species